CCAGCAGUGUGGUUCCUGUGGCCGACCUCUGCAAAGCACUGCAUUAGAUGCUGAAGUCUUAUUGUGUAGCCCGAGUUACCCAGGACUGGAGAGAAACAGCGAUGCAGGCUUGGAUGAAGCAAAGCUGGAGCCCAAGCCCUCAUGAGAGAAUGACUCCCGCACAUCAGAAGCUAUUCCAAG
rnacentral:lncRNA from 1 species